rnacentral:pre_miRNA from 1 species
AAAGUACUCCCUCCGUCCCAAAAUUCUUGUCUUAGAUUUGUCUAGAUACGGAUGUAUCAAGUCACAUUUUAGUAUUAGAUACAUCUGUAUCUAGACAAAUCUAAGACAAGAAAUUUGAGACAGAGGGAGUAGUUG